AUGGGCCCGCGGCCCAUUAGCUUGUUGGUGGGGUAACGGCCUACCAAGGCUACGAUGCUUAGCUGGUCUGAGAGGACGAUCAGCCACACUGGGACUGAGAUACGGCCCAGACUCCUACGGGAGGCAGCAGUGGGGAAUCUUGCGCAAGGGGCGAAAGCCUGACGCAGCAACGCCGCGUGAGCGAAGAAGGCCUUCGGGUUGUAAAGCUCUGUCAGGAGGGACGAAGCCACUCGGGUUAAUAGCCCAGAGGGUGACGGUACCUCCAGAGGAAGGUCCGGCUAACUACGUGCCAGCAGCCGCGGUAAUACGUAGGGGCCUAGCGUUGUCCGGAAUUAUUGGGCGUAAAGAGCGUGUAGGCGGCUUGCCAAGUCCGAUGUGAAAACUCGGGGCUUAACCCCGAGCCUGCAUUGGAAACUGGCUUGCUUGAGUCCGGAAGAGGGGACUGGAAUUCCUGGUGUAGCGGUGAAAUGCGCAGAUAUCAGGAAGAACACCCGUGGCGAAGGCGGGUCCCUGGGACGGUACUGACGCUGAGACGCGAAAGCGUGGGGAGCGAACAGGAUUAGAUACCCUGGUAGUCCACGCCGUAAACGAUGGGCACUAGGUGUGGGAGGUGUCGACUCCUUCCGUGCCGUAGCUAACGCAUUAAGUGCCCGCCUGGGGAGUACGGCCGCAA
rnacentral:rRNA from 1 species